GGCCGACUAGCUCAGUUGGUUAGAGCGUGGUGCUAAUAUUUCGAAGACUGCCGGUGUGCAACGCCAAGGUCGUCGGUUCAAUCCCGGCGUUGGCCA